rnacentral:rRNA from 1 species
CAGUCGAACGGUGAUAGCAAUAUCAUAGUGGCGCACGGGUGCGUAACACGUAUGCAACCUACCUUAUACUGAGGGAUAGCCUUUCGAAAGGGAGAUUAAUACCUCGUAACACAUUGAACUGGCAUCAGUUUAUUGUUAAAGAUUUAUUGGUAUAAGAUGGGCAUGCGUCCAAUUAGUUAGUUGGCGAGGUAACGGCUCACCAAGACGAUGAUUGGUAGGGGAACUGAGAGGUUAAUCCCCCACACUGGCACUGAGAUACGGGCCAGACUCCUACGGGAGGCAGCAGUAGGGAAUAUUGGGCAAUGGAGGCAACUCUGACCCAGCCAUGCCGCGUGCAGGAAGAAGGCGUUAUGCGUUGUAAACUGCUUUUAUAUAGGAAGAAAUAGACCUUGCGAGGUAAGUUGACGGUACUAUAUGAAUAAGCACCGGCUAACUCCGUGCCAGCAGCCGCGGUAAUACGGAGGGUGCAAGCGUUGUCCGGAUUUAUUGGGUUUAAAGGGUGCGUAGGCGGUUUAUUAAGUCAGUGGUGAAAGACGGUCGCUCAACGAUUGCAGUGCCAUUGAUACUGGUAGACUUGAGUGGGAUUGAGGUAGCUGGAAUGGAUAGUGUAGCGGUGAAAUGCAUAGAUAUUAUCCAGAACACCAAUUGCGUUGGCAAGUUACUAAGUCACAACUGACGCUGAGGCACGAAAGUGUGGGUAUCAAACAGGAUU